rnacentral:tRNA from 1 species
UCUCUGGAGGACUAGUGGUUAGGCCUCGGUGCUCUCACCGCCACGGCGCAGGUUCAAUUCCCAACCAGGGAA